ensembl:lncRNA novel transcript
CUGGAGCCACCGCGCCCGGCCCUGAGGCUACAUUUGCUCUGAGAAGCCAUGAGCUGGAGCUUUCUGGAGCACAAGUCAGAUGACAAGAUUAUUAAUGGGAGCAGGGCAAUGUCAUAUCUGAUUUCAUGCAUAUUCAUGUAGGGAGCCACACAGCUGGGACCAUGCGCUGUGGAGAGGACAAAUAAAGAGUGCUCUACCCCCCACCCCCAGCAUGAAGAAUGUCAUUGUGGAGAUGAGGAGCCUGAUUGGAAAAGUUUAAGUAAUUGUAGCCUUUAUUUUGAAAAAAAGGGAUAGAAUUUGCAGAAACAACAACAAAACAAGGUUUGCUACCCUGGCCAAACUAAGUCAAUACUAAGUUAUACAGAACCUUGUAUCUAAGGGUCACCCACCUAGAAGCUCUCUGGAUUGAAGUAUGCAGAGAGACAACUUUUGCACUUGGUGUCAACAAAAGAAGUAAAUGUUUAGAAGCAAAAGAGAAAGAAGGAAGGAAGGAAGGAAAGAAGGAAGGAUGGAAGGAAGGAACA